rnacentral:rRNA from 1 species
AGAGUUUGAUCCUGGCUCAGGAUGAACGCUGGCGGCAUGCCUAACACAUGCAAGUCGAACGGAGCACCCCUGACGGAGUUUUCGGACAACUGAAGGGAAUGCUUAGUGGCGGACGGGUGAGUAACGCGUGAGGAACCUGCCUUUCAGUGGGGGAUAACACAUCGAAAGAUGUGCUAAUACCGCAUAACAUAGCGAUGGGGCAUCCCAUUGCUAUCAAAGAUUUAUUGCUGAAAGAUGGCCUCGCGUCCAAUUAGCUAGUUGGUGAGGUAACGGCCCACCAAGGCGACGAUUGGUAGCCGGACUGAGAGGUUGAACGGCCACAUUGGGACUGAGACACGGCCCAG